rnacentral:pre_miRNA from 1 species
AAUGGCUGUCGUCUUACCUGAACACUAUUAGAGUGUCACAUGAAAUAUCUAAUACUGUCAGGUAAUGACGAUUGCCUAU